GGCGAACGCUGGCGGCGUGCUUAACACAUGCAAGUCGAGCGAUGAAGCUCCUUCGGGAGUGGAUUAGCGGCGGACGGGUGAGUAACACGUGGGCAACCUGCCUUAUAGAGAGGAAUAGCCAUCCGAAAGGAUGAUUAAUACCUCAUAAUAUUGUAGUUUCGCAUGGAGCAACAAUCAAAGGAGCAAUCCGCUAUAAGAUGGGCCCGCGGCGCAUUAGCUAGUUGGUGAGGUAACGGCUCACCAAGGCGACGAUGCGUAGCCGACCUGAGAGGGUGAUCGGCCACAUUGGGACUGAGACACGGCCCAGACUCCUACGGGAGGCGGCAGUGGGGAAUAUUGCACAAUGGGGGAAACCCUGAUGCAGCAACGCCGCGUGAGUGAUGACGGCCUUCGGGUUGUAAAGCUCUGUCUUCAGGGACGAUAAUGACGGUACCCGAGGAGGAAGCCACGGCUAACUACGUGCCAGCCGCCGCAGUAAUAC
rnacentral:rRNA from 1 species